rnacentral:sRNA from 1 species
CUACCCGCGAAAAUCCUCCCACACACCCCCCCCAAAAAAUAAGAAAUCUACCACACUAAUCCACCCUCCGCUUUCUACCAUAAUAAUUCUAAUCAAUUUAUAUUUAUUUUUUUUUUGAUUCCGGCUUAGUUCCUGGAUCGAAUCAUAAAUAUUAUUCAGUUGACUCAACCUCGUCGCCUCCGAAUUCCUACCGUGUCCACCUCCGCUCUACCGAAUUGUGUCCUUCGCCACGAGUAAUUCCCGAGAAACUAACUUUUGCCAUAAAUAACCGCGGCCUCCCACUGCUACCUGUUCAGCUACCACCACCACGGUCUAUUGACACCAUACGAAUUAUAGCAUACCUUCGUUAAUUUCUACACUACAAAUUAAUACUCAGGCUACUUUCACGCCUUGCCGCGUUAUCUGGCUGGCAUACCAUACUCACAACCCAUUGUGUCGGCACCAUUCAAGGGACACCUGGAACCCCCAGCAAAGGAAGGAAGGAAUACUGGGGACAAGAGACUCGGGGAGAGAGAGAGAGCAGAUACGGCGAAAGAUUGCUUGGGAGAAGCAUCGCUGGAUUGAACGGCGACCGGACAACGGAUUUGCCUCGAAAAUACACACCAUUCUUCUUUGACUACGCGAAUCAUGCCUUCACGAUUAAGCUCACUCUAUCGGUGGACGCGGCCAAGAUUCAUGAGGUGAUACACGAAUGCAGAGUCACUAC